rnacentral:rRNA from 1 species
AUUGAACGCUGGCGGCAGGCCUAACACAUGCAAGUCGAACGAGUGGCGGACGGGUGCGUAAUGUCUGGGCAACUGCCUGAUGGCGGGGGGUAACUCCUGGAAAAGGUAGCUAAUACCGCAUACCAUCGGAUGUGCCCAGAUGGGAGUAGCUAGUAGGGGGGGUAAAGGCUCACCUAGGCGACGAUCCCGAGCUGGUCUGAGAGGAUGACCAGCCACACUGGAACUGAGACACGGUCCAGACUCCUACGGGAGGCAGCAGUGGUGAAUAUUGCACAAUGGGCGCAAGCCUGAUGCAGCCAUGCCGCGUGUAUGAAGAAGGCCUUCGGGUUGUAAAGUACUUUCAGCGGGGAGGCGUUACCCGCAGAAGAAGCACCGGCUAACUCCGUGCCAGCAGCCGCGGUAAUUC